rnacentral:rRNA from 1 species
ACAGGUGUGAAUCCCCGGGCUUACCUGGGAAUGCAUUGUGACUGCACGGCUAGAGUGUGUCAGAGGGGGUAGAAUUCCACGUGUAGCAGUGAAAGCGUAGAGAUGUGGAGGAAUACGAUGGCGAAGGCAGCCCCCUGGGAUAACACUGACGCUCAUGCACGAAAGCGUGGGGAGCAAACAGGAUUAGAUACCCUGGUAGUCCACGCCCUAAACGAUGUCUACUAGUUGUCGGGUCUUAAUUGACUUGGUAACGCAGCUAACGCGUGAAGUAGACCGCCUGGGGAGUACGGUCGCAAGAUUAAAACUCAAAGGAAUUGACGGGGACCCGCACAAGCGGUGGAUGAUGUGGAUUAAUUCGAUGCAACGCGAAAAACCUUACCUACCCUUGACAUGUACGGAAUCCUUCAGAGAUGAGGGAGUGCUCGAAAGAGAACCAGUACACAGGUGCUGCAUGGCUGUCGUCAGCUCGUG